rnacentral:rRNA from 1 species
CAGUCGCCGCGGGAAUACGAAGGGUGCAAGCGUUAAUCGGAAUUACUGGGCGUAAAGCGUGCGUAGGCGGUUUGUUAAGUCUGUUGUGAAAUCCCCGGGCUCAACCUGGGAAUGGCAAUGGAUACUGGCAAGCUAGAGUGUGUCAGAGGAUGGUGGAAUUCCCGGUGUAGCGGUGAAAUGCGUAGAGAUCGGGAAGAACAUCAGUGGCGAAGGCGGCCAUCUGGGACAACACUGACGCUGAGGCACGAAAGCGUGGGGAGCAAACAGGAUUAGAUACCCCCGUAGUCCCUGUCUCUUAUAC